rnacentral:rRNA from 1 species
AUUGAACGCUGGCGGCAUGCUUUACACAUGCAAGUCGAACGGUAACAGGCCGCAAGGUGCUGACGAGUGGCGAACGGGUGAGUAAUGCAUCGGAACGUGCCCAGUCGUGGGGGAUAACGCAGCGAAAGCUGCGCUAAUACCGCAUACGAUCUCUGGAUGAAAGCGGGGGACCGAAAGGCCUCGCGCGAUUGGAGCGGCCGAUGUCAGAUUAGGUAGUUGGUGGGGUAAAGGCCCACCAAGCCAACGAUCUGUAGCUGGUCUGAGAGGACGCACGGCCACACUGGGACUGGAACACGGCCCGGACUCCUACGGGAGGAAGCAGUGGGGAAUUUUGGACAAUGGGAGCAAGGCUGAUCCAGCAAUGCGGCGUGCAGGAAGAAGGCAUUCGGGUUGUAAACUGCUUUUGUACGGAACGAAACGGUCCGGGUUAAUACCCUGGGCUAAUGACGGUACCGUAAGAAUAAGCACCGGCUAACUACGUGCCAGCCGCCGCGGUAAUAC